UUAGUAGCUCACGCCUGACAUAAUAUUUUGAUAAAUCUAAUACAUUUUUAGAUUUAAAUAUGACUUUAAUAACUGAAUAAAUACUUUUCUUCUACAAAAAUAUAGAGAGACACUCUCGUUGAAUAUUGUUUUAGUAACGUAUGGGUAAGAUUUUCUAAACGAAGUGUGGCAACCCCAAUUACUUAAUAAAAAAUAAAUAUGUUAUAAAAUGAAAAUGGCGUCAUUUCACCAAAUAAAACACGAAUUCACGAAUAAUAAAAUAAAUGUUUGCCACGGCCUGUUAAUAUUUAUGAAGACCUCUUCAUGGAUUGGAUUUAAGCAACCUGCUGUGUAAUAUCCUCGCCAUUCUUGAUGUUGAGAAGAUCUAUAAGUCUUUUGCGUUUCAUCUGAGUGUUGUGGUUUUUCAUUAUGUUAAAAAUAAGACUUUGUUAGUUCAAGUGUCUCUAUAACUAUGAAGAAGAACAAAAGAAAAUGCUUUGAGUGUGGUUCUUCGCCUGCCGAUGAUCCAGAGAAGACCCUACAGAGAUUACAGAAAUUUGAUUCUACAAAUUUAGUCUCCGUAAUGUCCAGAUAAUCAAUGAUUAGACUAUUGGACUUUUAGAAUAAAUUUUACAUUGAACUAUGAAUGGUUUGUCAUCUACAUUUUUAAAAAAGACGAGAUGUUUUGCCUGUAAGAACAAGAGAGAGAGAGAAUAAGAAGCAAUCCUGCUUCUUCACAUGAAUUUUACCCGCAUGACGACGGUUUUUAAUAUAAAAAAUAUUUACACAAUGUCUCAAAAAGCAAUCAAAGCUUUCAAAAAUAAACAAUGUUCGUAGAAGUUCAGUACCAAGAAACUCACAAAAAAUGAGCCCAAAAUUUAGCAUUACUUGUAAGCCAGACUAAGAAAUUUCAAGAAGAUAAUUUAAAAGAAGACAAUAGAAUAAAAUAAUAUUAACACACAAUGCUUAGCAAAUAUAGCAUUAACAGAUGGAAACCAGGCAAUAGGUGUAGCAAAAUAGAAGAUGAAGGUCUAGCUGUGCCAGUCAGUGCUGAGCCACACAGUUCCUGCUGGCAUGUUUCCAAAAUAGCACAAGGU